rnacentral:rRNA from 1 species
UGGGCGCAAGCCUGAUCCAGCCAUGCCGCGUGAGUGAUGAAGGCCUUAGGGUUGUAAAGCUCUUUCGGCGGGGACGAUAAUGACGGUACCCGCAGAAGAAGCCCCGGCUAACUUCGUG